UACAGAGGUCUCAAGCGUUGUUCGGAUUCAUUGGGCGUAAAGGGUGCGUAGGCGGCGGGGUAAGUCAGGUGUGAAAGCCCGGAGCUCAACUCCGGAACUGCCAUUGAAACUGUAGAACUUGAGGAUGAGAGAGGUGAGUGGAAUUCCCAGUGUAGAGGUGAAAUUCGUAGAUAUUGGGAAGAACACCGGUGGCGAAGGCGGCUCACUGGCUCAUUUCUGACGCUCAGGCGCGACAGCGUGGGGAUCAAACAGG
rnacentral:rRNA from 1 species